CCUACGGGAGGCUGCAGUCGAGAAUCAUUCACAAUGGGGGAAACCCUGAUGGUGCGACGCCGCGUGGGGGAAUGAAGGUCUUCGGAUUGUAAACCCCUGUCAUGUGGGAGCAAAUUAAAAAGAUAGUACCACAAGAGGAAGAGACGGCUAACUCUGUGCCAGCAGCCGCGGUAAUACAGAGGUCUCAAGCGUUGUUCGGAAUCACUGGGCGUAAGGCGUGCGUAGGCUGUUUCGUAAGUCGUGUGUGAAAGGCGCGGGCUCAACCCGCGGACGGCACAUGAUACUGCGAGACUAGAGUAAUGGAGGGGGAAGCGGAAUUCUCGGUGUAGCAGUGAAAUGCGUAGAUAUCGAGAGGAACACUCGUGGCGAAGGCGGGUUCCUGGACAUUAACUGACGCUGAGGCACGAAGGCCAGGGGAGCGAAAGGGAUUAGAUACCCGAGUAGUC
rnacentral:rRNA from 1 species